GACGAAGGGGGCUAGCGUUGUUCGGAAUUACUGGGCGUAAAGCGCGUGUAGGCGGUUAUCCAAGUCGGGUGUGAAAGCCUUGAGCUCAACUCAAGAAAUGCACUCGGUACUGGGUGACUAGAGGACCGGAGAGGAUAGUGGAAUUCCCAGUGUAGUGGUGAAAUACGUAGAGAUUGGGAAGAACACCAGUGGCGAAGGCGGCUAUCUGGACGGUUUCUGACGCUAAGACGCGAAAGCGUGGGGAGCGAACAGG
rnacentral:rRNA from 1 species